GGAGUCUGGACCGUAUCUCAGUUCCAAUGUGGCCGAUCACCCUCUCAGGUCGGCUACCGAUCGUCGCCUUGGUGGGCUGUUGUCUCACCAACUGGCUAAUCGGACGCGAGCCCAUCUUCAGCCGGAUUGCUCCUUUGACCCCUCCUCCAUGUGAAGGUGUGGUCUCAUGCGGUAUUAGCACAUCUUUCGAUGCGUUAUCCCCCUGCUGAAGGCAGGUUGCUCACGCGUUACUCACCCGUCCGCCGCUGAAACCAGUUCUGAGCAAGCUCUUCCCUGGUCCCCGCUCGACUUGCAUGUGUUAGGCACGCCGCCAGCGUUCGUCCUGAGCCACUGAUCAAACUACU
rnacentral:rRNA from 1 species